AGUGAACGCUGGCGGUAGGCCUAACACAUGCAAGUCGAACGGCAGCACCGUAAGAGCUUGCUCUUACGGGUGGCGAGUGGCGGACGGGUGAGGAAUACAUCGGAAUCUACUUUUUCGUGGGGGAUAACGUAGGGAAACUUACGCUAAUACCGCAUACGACCUACGGGUGAAAGCAGGGGAUCUUCGGACCUUGUGCGAUUGAAUGAGCCGAUGUCGGAUUAGCUAGUUGGCGGGGUAAAGGCCCACCAAGGCGACGAUCCGUAGCUGGUCUGAGAGGAUGAUCAGCCACACUGGAACGGAGCCACGGUCCAGACUCCUACGGGAGGCAGCAGUGGGGAAUAUUGGACAAUGGGCGCAAGCCUGAUCCAGCCAUACCGCGUGGGUGAAGAAGGCCUUCGGGUUGUAAAGCCCUUUUGUUGGGAAAGAAAAGCAGCAGGUUAAUACCACGCUGUUCUGACGGUACCCAAAGAAUAAGCACCGGCUAACUUCGUG
rnacentral:rRNA from 1 species